GGAAUUCGCCAGAGAUGGCUUAGUGCUCGAAAGAGAACCGUAACACAGGUGCUGCAUGGCUGUCGUCAGCUCGUGUCGUGAGAUGUUGGGUUAAGUCCCGCAACGAGCGCAACCCUUGUCAUUAGUUGCUACAUUCAGUUGGGCACUCUAAUGAGACUGCCGGUGACAAACCGGAGGAAGGUGGGGAUGACGUCAAGUCCUCAUGGCCCUUAUAGGUGGGGCUACACACGUCAUACAAUGGCUGGUACAAAGGGUUGCCAACCCGCGAGGGGGAGCUAAUCCCAUAAAACCAGUCGUAGUCCGGAUCGCAGUCUGCAACUCGACUGCAGUGAAGUCGGAAUCGCUAGUAAUCGUGGAUCAGAAUGUCACGGUGAAUACGUUCCCGGGUCUUGUACACACCGCCCGUCACACCAUGGGAGCGGGUUCUGCCAGAAGUAGUUAGCCUAACCGCAAGGAGGGCGAUUACCACGGCAGGGUUCGUGACUGGGGUGAAGUCGUAACAAGGUAGCCGAA
rnacentral:rRNA from 1 species